ACCCUCCGCCACUCAGCCGAACAACAUGCUGCCACAGCCUGCGGGAGAAGUGACGUUUGCCUCUCCUUCUUUUUCCUCCCUUCCGCGCCGCUGGUCUCCCCCAAGGAAGAGGGUUUUGAUUUUUGUUUUGUUUUGUUUUUUGUUUUGAACCGGAGUCUCGCCCUGUCGCCCAGGCUGGAGUGCAGUAGCACGAUCUCCGCUCACUACAACCUCCCUUCCCGGGUUGAGACGGUUUUUCUGCCUCAGGCUUCCGAGUAGCUGAGAUUACAGCCCGGCUAAUUUUUGUAUUUUUAGUAGAGACGGGGUUUCACCACUUUGGCCAAGCUGAUCUCGAACUCCUGACCUCAGGUGAUCCGCCCGCCCCGGCCUCCGCAAGUGCUGGGAUUACAGGCGUGAGCCACCACGCCCGGCCAGAAACGGGUUCUUAGCCUGUGUUGCUGAGGACCUCUUUGGCGGGCAGCUGGAGCCUGUGCACCCUUCUUCAAACAAUGGCUUUUAAUACACUGACUAGAACGUUUGGGAUUACAAAAGAAACCAGUUCUUUUCACAUCGUUAUUCUUGUGAUGUAGCAUUCUACUUGAAAUUGGAAGCCGUUCAAUAUCAGAGAGAAACCAUAUCUAUGAAACUAGAGAGGUUGCUCAGAUGACUGCAAACCAGCCAUCCUUAGUUGUUUUACCACUAGUAGUGUUAUAAAGAUGGUUGUCCAAUUUCGUGAAUCUUGUAGGGUUUUUGCAAAUACAGCAAUGUACAAAAAUAUGCUGCCUCAGCAGAGCACACUGGACACUCAGGCAUCAUGCUGGAGUUUGUCAUCUCUUCCACAGCCUUCUCUAGACCUUAGCACUUACCUCAUGUUAGCACUUCAUAUUGUGCAAAGACAGAAACAAAGUCACCCAAAUUUGGCAAAAAAUAUUUGGGGGAAAUUUUAUUGGAGGUGCUUAACUGAUUAAUUUUAAUCUGUAGAAUACAACCCCAAACUCUGACAAUACUCCACAGAUUCCAAAACUAUCAGGCGAGUUUUUUC
rnacentral:lncRNA from 10 species